rnacentral:ncRNA from 2 species
UUCUUAUCGAGAGAGGCAGAGGGACUGACCCUGUGAAGCCUCGGCAACCGGCUGAUUUAUGCACGGUGCCAAUUUCAGAGGAAGGCGAAAGCUAUUCCGGAGAUGAGAG